rnacentral:rRNA from 1 species
AUUGAACGCUGGCGGCAGGCCUAACACAUGCAAGUCGAGCGGAUGAGUGGAGCUUGCUCCAUGAUUCAGCGGCGGACGGGUGAGUAAUGCCUAGGAAUCUGCCUGGUAGUGGGGGACAACGUUUCGAAAGGAACGCUAAUACCGCAUACGUCCUACGGGAGAAAGUGGGGGAUCUUCGGACCUCACGCUAUCAGAUGAGCCUAGGUCGGAUUAGCUAGUUGGUGAGGUAAAGGCUCACCAAGGCGACGAUCCGUAACUGGUCUGAGAGGAUGAUCAGGCACACUGGAACUGAGACACGGUCCAGACUCCUACGGGAGGCAUCAGUGGGGAAUAUUGGACAAUGGGCGAAAGCCUGAUCCAGCCAUGCCGCGUGUGUGAAGAAGGUCUUCGGAUUGUAAAGCACUUUAAGUUGGGAGGAAGGGCAGUAAGUUAAUACCUUGCUGUUUUGACGUUACCAACAGAAUAAGCACCGGCUAACUUCGUGCCAGCAGCCGCCGCGGUAA